AGAGAGAGAGAGAUGAGAUUGACUCACUGUAGUAUUGUUGACAUGUGGGUGAUGGUGGCGGUGUGUCCUCAGUCUGGAGCCAGUGUCCGUGUGGUCAACUAGCUGCUUACUGAGAUGGACGGACUGGAGACAAGGCGGCAGGUCUUCAUCAUGGUGGCUACCAACAGACCAGGAGGACGUCUGGCAUAAUUUCACUCCCUCACUGACAUGGAUAUUCACAAAGAUUAUUAUUCAUUGUUUUGAGAUAUUAUUGACCCUGCUGUGCUGAGACCAGGCCGUCUGGACAAGACCCUGUAUGUGGGCCUCCCACCUCCAUCAGACCGACACGCCAUCUUACUCACCAUCACCAGGGUAACGUGGAAUGCCAUGGAUGGAAGCUCACGAUGUAAAUGGUCCAUGAGCCUCUCAUAAUGUUUGUUGCUGGGAGAAGGGUUGUUUCGUGAUUACUGUGUCUGGCAUAGGGGGGAAGCAAACAUCAUCUGGAGCAGGACGUGAGUCUGGAACAAAUUGCCCGUGACGUGCACAGUGACUGCUUUGCCAGAGUGUCCCAGAGAAGGAAGGAGAGAGCAAAAUGCAUCUAAACUUGUCUGUCUGCUCCACCGGGAGAAAUAAAACCCACUCCCUUAGAACACCCUGAUGAUUUUGUUACAGAUGUUCACGCUGCCUUCCUCAACACAGUGGCUAUAAUAACACAGUGGAUAUGAUGUGUUUGAGCGUAUGUGUAAUGUGUGUCUAUGUUCCAUGCAGUGGGACAGACCUGUCUGUGUUGGUGAGGGAAGCCUCUGUCAAUGCUCUGAGAGCCUACCUCCUGACUCAACCCAACCCAUCUUACACAGGUAAUACUGGCCUAAAGACAUCUAGGUCCUCUCUGCCUCUUUACUCUUGUUAUUGUUUUAUGGAACACUGCAAACUUGGUUUACUGCUCACAUGCAUUUCCCCAUGCCUGCCAUUUAGAAAGCUGGAUUUCUGUUUACAACGCUUUCUAAGGCAAGAUAAGUACCGUAGCCAAGGUCAUAGCAUUUGUACAGUAUCCUCCACCAGGGAUUUGCGCUAUUAGCCUCAAGGUCACCAGUCCACUUCCGCUCCGUCUGAGUUUGUACUUAUUAACCCCUCAGGUCAUAGCUACUCCAACGGCCCUGUGGCCGACAUCUCACAAAGGUGAGAUGCAUUGGGAGCAGAACUUUGAGGACGCCUUCAAGAAAGUACGGCCGGUCUGUGUCUAAAAAGGUGAGAUGCAUUGGGACAUGGACAUAUGAAUGACUGCACAGACAUGCAAGGGGAAGAAAUGGCACAGCAGCCAUUUUGGGAGGGGGUGUGGAUGACCACACACCAUAGCAGUCAAAUCUCCUGCACUGUCAUCAUUUAUCCAGUGAGUGACUCGCCUCGAAUCCAAAUCGAUUAGACAAGUAGUUAUGUCCCCAGUGAGUGUGUUUCUGGUAAUGGCUUUUUGAGUUGCCUCGGUCAUCCUUAGGAUCAGCAUUCCUAAAUGUGGUCAUUAACAAUGGAGGGGGUCAGCACAUUAUUCCCACACAGCCUCAGGGGGUUUGUGGACUCUGGGGAACUAACUGUUCCGUAAUUACUAUUUCCAUCCCUAUUUGCAUACAAUGUUUUGCCCUAUUUUCUCCCCAAUUUCGUGGUUUCUAAUUGGUAGUCUUGUCUCAUUGCUGCAACUCUCAUACGGACACGGAAAAAGCGGCAUACUCCGAAACACAACCCAACCGAGCCGCACUGCCCACUUAACCCGGAAGCCAGCCGCACCAAUGUGUACGCCUGGCAACCCUAAACCUGGCAGCGUGCCCUGCGCCUGGCCCGCCACAGGAGUCACUAGUGUGCGAUAGGACAAGGACAUCCCUGCCGGCCAAACCCUAAACUAACCAAGACGACGUUGGGUCAAUUGUGCGCCUGGACUUGAACCCAGAAUUUCUAGUGGCACAGCUAGCACUGCCUUAGACCACUGCGCCAUUCGGGAGGCCCAUACAGAUAGAUGUAAAUUAAGCCCAUUAAACAUGGUCUAGCCUGUGGUCAUACAAUGAAUUCGUGUGCUUUUUAUUUACACGCUGUGUUUUAGCCGAGAGGAAAAGGCGUAGCAAGAGGGACAACUGGGAGCUCUCCAGCAGGUGGUGUUUUUUCAUUUUUGUUGUAUGGAGGUCAAUGAGUGUAGAAAUAAAUAUUUAUAAAAAUAAAAUGGAAUGGCUUAUUUGAUCGAAUAUAAGUGUCGCAAUGAUUAGGUUGUUACAAGUGUACUGAUAUAAGUAGGUCACAUGGCAUCCCAGCGACAUCGAGAAAUAAAGGUUUUUUAUCGGAGUUACACCUGGUUACCAGAGUUAUAAACACCACCUAUUUUUAAAAUGUAAUUUUUAACCAAACAUUAACCACACUGCUACCCGUAUGCUUAACAUUAAAUUAAAACCAAAAAGCAUUAAAAAAAAAUAUGAUAAUGAAUUUCUGUCUGUGGUAACUAAUGGAAACCGUGCCUGUUGUUCAAAAGCGAACCUACCGCUCAUUGGCUAGAAUCGUCCCACCUGAUCUUGCCUCCUUCCGACUGCCUUCCAUUUUUGAAUACAUUUAUUUUCAUUGUUAGAGUGGCCACUAGAGUAUCUGGUCAAUAUAAUGGAUACUCUGUGGUUUUAGGGACCACCCGCUGUAGACGCGUCUUUCUUUUUCCCAACGCAGUUAAGCCAAAACCACUCCCCGUUAUUCAGAGGGGCGUUCUACAACCCUUUGAGCACUCUGCAAGUACGGAAGUGAAUAUCACGUAGCUCGAAAUUUUAGUCACUGAUUAAUAACAUUUGCCCUUGUAUUUCAAGUUUACAGACAGAUUCUAUGACUGUAGCAUAGCGUAUUCGACUGAAUGAUUAGCUAAUCAAUAUUAGAGAAAUUAUGAAUAAUAAGCAUUUGCUUUUACCUGAUAAUAGACUACUAAUGAUAAUAAAACAUCAAAUACCGAGCUAGUAACGUUAAGUAGCCUAGGUUAAUUUAGCUGACCUUCAGUUGAGUUGAUUAUCUUGAGACAUUUUUACAACUCAUUGAAACUCUGAAUAUAAAUACAUCUGCAAAUGUUACCAAACAUGAUGAUGAUAAUAGGCCUGCAUUACGGUAGGCAGCUAAUUGUUAAAUGACACUUUCCAUCCUUACCUUGGAAGGUCACUGUCUCUGCACUGAUCGCCUGUGAGUGAGACAACGCUAGUUAGCCAAUUGGAGCGUAGUAGAACAUCUCUCAGAAUAACGGGGCGUGGUUUUGGCUUAACUGCGUUGGG